GGAAAACACAGCUCUGCUUGCAAGCAUGUGUGUCUGUACAACUUCCGGACAGUGUGGGUGGUGUUGGUGGAGAGGCCGUUUUUGUAGAUACUGAAGGUAGUUUUACUGUUGGAAGACUAAAAGAUAUGGCAAGUCAUGCAGUAGAACAUGUUCAGAA